AUUGAACGCUGGCGGCAUGCUUUACACAUGCAAGUCGAACGGUAACAGGCCGCAAGGUGCUGACGAGUGGCGAACGGGUGAGUAAUGCAUCGGAACGUGCCCAGUCGUGGGGGAUAACUACUCGAAAGAGUAGCUAAUACUGCAUACGAUCUAUGGAUGAAAGCGGGGGACCGUAAGGCCUCGCGCGAUUGGAGCGGCCGAUGUCAGAUUAGGUAGUUGGUGGGGUAAAGGCUCACCAAGCCAACGAUCUGUAGCUGGUCUGAGAGGACAACCAGCCACACUGGGACUGAGACACGGCCCAGACUCCUACGGGAGGCAGCAGUGGGGAAUUUUGGACAAUGGGCGCAAGCCUGAUCCAGCAAUGCCGCGUGCAGGAAGAAGGCCUUCGGGUUGUAAACUGCUUUUGUACGGAACGAAACGGCUCUGGUUAAUACCCGGGGCUAAUGACGGUACCGUAAGAAUAAGCACCGGCUAACUACGUG
rnacentral:rRNA from 1 species